UGCUGCAGUUUAAUUACCCAGCCGAAAGCCUCUGCUCCUGUAUUUGUUUCUACUCUAGCUUGCUUCAUCUCUCCCCCAUAUUUCUGACAUUUGGAUUUUCCCCUACUAAUUGGCAUGCCUGUCCCCUCCUUCUCCUGGUGUCCAUUUCUGGAACUGCUAUUUGUGUAUUGCAUGAUAUUUUAUCAGGGAAAAAAUAAAACUGAGAUCCAAUUUCAUGAAAAUGCUGUUGCCGUAUGCCCAGGAGGACAGGGGGAGGAGAAAGUCAAGUCUUCCUCCGUCUACCUCAUGCGCAGCUCACCUCUCCAUCUACUCCUCAAAAAGGCAAAGCAUCCCAUCGGAAGACAACAGAGCCUGGCACAUUCAGUUGAGGUCCUUUGCACUGGCGCUUGAGCUGAAAGGGAGAUUUGAGAGGUGUCCUUAUCUGAUGCUGACAUUGUGUAUCUUCCAUUGCUCAUCAUUGAUGGAGGUCUGCCUCUUGCUUCAUAGGAUGAUGACUCCAUGUCUGUCUUAAAGAAGAUUCUGAAUGACGUGUUAGUAAAGAAGAUUAUCAAGCUAUCAAAUAGUGAAAGAUUCUUGAAGAUUAGAAGCAGACAUUUGCAAAGCACAUGAAGCAGAUGAGUCUCUGCUGCAUGGGAUGGAGCGGGAAGAAGCGAAUGGAAGUAGAGGGAGAUACCAGUGUUUGAAAGGAGGAAAAUUUCAGAGUGGAGUCUUUCAAAAGACAGCCUGACUAUAACCUAGAUUUACUUGGAACCUGAAGGUAAUACAGGUUGAGAUGUCCUUUACUAUAAGCAAUAUAAUAGCAAGAACAAUAACUCCAAGCUAAGAAUGUACAAUUAGGUAGAAAACCAAACAAUUUUUCAGGAUAAAAAUAUAUGUCUGGACAAAGUACUAAUUUUAGAAAGAUUGCCAGUGCCCAAGACUGAGCACAGAAACUCUUCUGUACAGGAUUUUUACAGCAUGCUCACCAUAUGCCUAAAAGGACAGGACCUCUCCUCCAACAAGUUCUUACUGGAAACAAUGUCGUCUACUGGCAAUGGUACUCAUCCGACUUCUGAAGGACCUCCCCUAGAACAGCUUCCUGCUCUGUGCUGUUUAAAGUGGGCCUUUCCUUGAGGCUGUGUGAACUGAAUGUCUGGCAUCAGAAGCCAUGGGACACACUGAUGUCAUAAAAUGAGCAUUGGGGCUCUGCUUCCUGUCAGGGGGAUUCCUAGAAGCCAUUUGCUCCUACCCAGAAGGGCCAGCACUCGGAAACAAUUGCCAACCACAAAAACAGCCCCCACUUAAAACAAAUUAAACAUACUCCCAUCUUGACUUCUCUUUAGCUACAGUUCGUCAUUUUGUGGACACCCCACUCAAGCAGAAGAAACAUGUAGGGGAAGUUGGAACUGAAAAUGAAAACAGUCUUAAGCAACCAUAGCUAAAUAUAUCUCAUUUGUAAUAGAUUUUACAAGGGCAUACAACCGCGGGAACACAUUGCAAGGGUCCCUCCCUUCUCUUGCAAGAAACCUGUGCAGCUAAGGGGUGGGGGUGGAAGUCACAGUUCAAGCUUAUUUGUUGAUCAGCUGCAGGGUAGGGCCUUCUCGGGGCUCUGAUUGUAACUGAGAUGCCAAUCUGUAAACAGUGGUAACAGUGAAUGACUUAAAGCAACCGGGUGUCCGUGGACUAGAAAGGAUAUAUUUAAUGGCCAUCAGCAAGUAAAAGCAGGCUGUGUGAACUGAAUGUCUGGCAUCAGAAGCCGUGGGACACACUGAUGUCAUGAUUCUGAGACAACUAGGAAUGAACAGUGAUGGAGAAAUGAAAGGAGCAUGGUGCCAUCUAAAACGGCAGGUACCAUUCAGCUUUAACAAACGCACUCCUAUUCAAUUCCGGUGUGGGGUGCAGAAAUGGCCAUCACACAGAUGGAGGCCUGGAAAUUAAUGUCUUGGUUCUGUUAAUCCCCACACUCCAGUUCCACGUGCCAAGCUCACUCCUAGGCACUUGUUUCUCCAGUUCAUAAGAGGGUCUGGGAUCUUUCUCUUUGUUCUUCUGCAUGAGACCACUUGUUAAGAUGCCUUUAAACUCCUUGGCUCCCAGGACAAGCCCAUCUAUUGGCUGUUUUUAAUCCAAGACAUACUUUUUCUACAACCUAGUCAAAGUGCAGUCUCACAGGGAGGUGAAAAAACAGAAGUGUGUUUUAGCUUUGUUUGGGGCAUGCUGAGUGUAUUUUGUGCUUUAAAUUUUGAAAAUAUACCCUCUGGGGCUUGAUUUCCCAGUCUAGACUCUAAUCGGUGGAAAUACAGCAGAAUACAGACAGAAAAAAAAUAAAAAGAAAAGAAAACUUGUCACCCAGUCCCAGUCAUGACCCUAGAACGGUGGAGGAAAGCGCCUACAGUAGUAUCGAAGGGUCCAGAAAACAUGAAAGCCAAUGUUAAGGAAACCCCACCGAAGGGCUGAGAUCAGUUACGGAGCCUGCUCUCCCACAGGUACUUAAUCUUUGCUCAAACUUCACAGCAAACAUGCUCCUUUCUCAGGAUGUCUUGCUGCUUCUCAAAUAAUCCCAAAAGGAGACACGCUGGACAUCCCGUAAUGAAUAAAACUGCUGAUGGGGAUGGAUUUGUAAACCCAAAAUACCAUAUGUGGAGUCAGAACACUUUAUUUAUACCUUGGCCCGAUGCUUCGCCCACGCACACAGGAUUACGGAAGAAAUAUAUGGCUGCCUGCUGGCCUAGAACUCUCUCAGGCCUUCCCCAGCAGCCUUGGUGAGAGCAGCAACCCUGGGCCAAGCAACCAUCUGUAGCACAACAGGCCUUUCCAAGCCGAAAAGAAAGUAAUAGAGAUUAGAAUUGCAAUGGUAAACAUACCCCUGCAUAUUUUGUUUCUGUAUGUGUGUACAAGUAGGAACAAACCUAAGCAGACUCUUCUGGCAUAAGAUUAUAGGUUAAAAAAUAAAUCCACCAACGUAUUACAUAAUAACAAGAUAAGAAUAAUUAAGAACAAUAUAUUUCCUUUUAUAAACUUUGAUGGAUAACCUUUAAGAUGUUUUAAGGGUUAUGUUCAGGCCACACACAGGAUGGGCAAUAUUUUUUCUUCAUUUUCUUUUACAGAAAAAGAGCUAAUUUUGCUUAAAAUAGAAAGAAGGCUAUGGGCCUUGCAUUUAUCAAAGAAACAAGCAUGGUUUAUCAUGUGAAAUUAUCUUUAUUUCAAAGAAAAUUAGAACCAAAGCCAAACCUACAGAGGGAUAUAUACAAACGAUAGUAACAUCUGUAGAUAAGGAGGGGCUCAGUGGGUCCUUAGUAGAAACUAAAUCUUGUUUUUAGGCUUCUGUCACUCCAGAGCUUGAGUGGAAGCAGCCUUAACAAGGGUAGUAAACUUUACAGACACAAUUCAACCCAGAUGCAUUUUCACCCUGUUCCUAGUCAGGAUUCUAUAUGCAACUUAGACCUCAACAUACAUUCAUUCUUUAUACUCCCUUUGCCACUCGUGACUAGCCUCUAGAAGCAGAAAGGAGGGCUUCUUCCCUUAGAAUCCCCCCAAAUAAGGCAGGGACAGAAGGAAUGGAAAGAGACCUACACUCAGAACCUCUGUUACCAUGUGGCACUUUCCCUAAGGUGAAGCAGGUCCAGAAUAAGAAAGAUGUGGGAGGAGACUCUUGCUACCAAGCGAUAGGUAAAAUCACAGCUAUGAUUCAGCAUGGUCUUUAACCUUCAGCACAUACCUAUGAGGUUGAUUCUGAGCUAUACCAUCAGUAGGAAGUGAGCAGAGGCUGGGAAGCCUAAAGAAAUCCAUCUGCACUGCCUUGUAUCGUGGAGAAGCUUGUAGGAGGGGUUUCCCAAGCAUAACUAUGUACCCCUUAACGACAGGAUUAUGUUCUAAGAAAUGUAUUAUUUAGGUAUUUCACUAUAUGCAAACAUCAUUCAGUGUACUUCCCCAAACCCAGAUGACUUCACUGUCUUUAAGCAUUAUAAUCUCAUGGUACCACUGUCAUUAGUUUUACUGUUAUUAACCGAAACUUUCAUAUGAAUACAUUGUUGUAAUAUUGUUAUUGGUUAAAAACACUCUAAUAAAUCAGUGGUUCUCAA